rnacentral:rRNA from 1 species
AGGAUAAACGCUGGCGGCGUGCCUAACACAUGCAAGUCGAACGCGCUUUCGGGCUUCGGUGCGAGAGCGAGUGGCGGACGGGUGAGUAACACAUGGGUACCUGCCUUUCAGUGAGGGAUACCGGCGAGAAAUCGCCGACAAUACCGCAUGGGUUCUUGUGGGAACACAAGCAAAGUGGCGCAAGCCACGCUGGAAGAUGGGCCUGUGGCCGAUUAGCUAGUUGGGGGGGUAAUGGCCUCCCAAGGCGACGAUCGGUAGCUGGUCUGAGAGGACGAUCAGCCACACUGGGAUUGAGAACGGCCCAGACUCCUACGGGGGCAGCAGUGAGGAAUUUUCCGCAAUGGACGAAAGUCUGACGGAGCAACGCCGCGUGCAGGAGGAAGGUUUUCGGAUCGUAAACUGCUUUUCUCGGGGACGAGCAAGGACGGUACCCGAGGAACGAAGCCCCGGCUAACUACGUGCCAGCAGCCGC